AUAGCGAACAUGAAAAUUUGAUUCCCAGGAGGUUGUCCUGGAGCAUGGUAACCAACAGCUUUGCAGUUAGAAGUGAGCCAGUCUUGAGGUUGGCAGAGCAGAAGGAGGUAUUUGUAUGAUAUAUUCCCAGUUGGUGCCAGGUUGUUCUAACAAUACAGCAAUCAUGAAGGGCAUGCAUGAUGGAUUCAGACCAGCAUUGGCAGAGGGGGCAGGAGGUAUCAAUCAGCAUUCCCCUAGCUGCUAGGCAAUCUUUAACUCCUAUAAUCUGGUGCAUACAUUUCCAGAUAAAAGUUUGGAUCCUGUGCAAGGUGUCUAACUUCCAAAUCCAUUUGCCCUGAAAAGGAGAAUCAGGCAGCGGCUCUAUGGCUAGGAGAUAGGCACUUUUCAGGUCAAAAGCACCCUUAGGUUGCUAGUAUUGCUGCUAUUGGAUUUGAACUUCUAGAUGCAGGUCAAUGGGUGUCUUUCCCACUAUGGGUGUCUUUAUAAACUUGAAGUCCAUGUCUGAUACCUUCCACCAGCAUGAGUGCAUGACUGACCACUUGUAUUGUAGGUGGUAGUGGAAGCUUCAUUUCUGCUACUCUUCCCAUGCCUUUUAUUUAGAAAUUAAAGUGCUUAUGCUUAUUUGUGGAGAUGAAAGAAGAGAUGUAACAUGGGGCUUGUCAAGGGUGGAUUGACAGCAAAUCAAAAAAUGGAUCCAGUUGACCAAGUUACCGGGGCUUCCCCUGUCUGGUGAUGGUGUGUUCCAAACCAAAACCACUUUGAUAACGUGUUUUGAUGAGUGGUAGAAUGAUUUCAAGUCCCCGUAUGAUCUGUUAAGUUAAGGUUCCACAUGUUUUAGUGGAAAUCAAUAUAGUGGCAUCAUUAAACAGUCUGUAUUCCAUUGGCAGCAGUAUAUCACGUUUGAAAGUUUUUUA